UCAAGUUUGGAUUAAGAUCGUGUUAAGAAAAAUAAUAUAUCCUAUAUUUAAAUAUAUUGUCAUAAAUAUUCCUUCUUUUACUGGAAAUAUUGUAUGUAGACGGGCGGUAAAAUGGAGCGAGUGGGAAAAUCGUAACGAGAAUUAACUGGAUAUCUCUUGAAAUCUCGCAUGCACUUUUGAAUGUAGUCUAUACAAACGGUGCUGAUCGACCAUGAUUUGGCUGAACGCGGUAAUCAUUAUCGUUUCAAUUUCAUCACUAGUUCAUGGACACGGUUAUCUCAUUGACCGGGAUAUGAUCGCAAAACAAGAUGGUUUCAAGUUUCAUUUCCAUUCGGG